GAUGAACGCUGGCGGCGGGCCUAAUACAUGCAAGUCGAGCGAACAGACGAUAAGCUUUCGCCCCUGACGUUGGCGGGUGGCGGAUGGGUAACGCGUGGAUAGGCAACCAAUAAUACUGGGGGAACUACGGGGAACAGGAGCUAAUAAUGCCUAAUAUAAUGUACGGGAUGGUUCAAUAGUUAUAGGCGGUUUUCGCGUUACAAUUAGAUGAUUCCGGGCCGCAUUAGCUAGUUGGUAAGGUAACGGCUUACCAAGGAGACGAUGCGUAGCCGACCUGAGAGGAUGAUCGGCCACACUGGAACUGAGACACGGUCCAGACUCCUACGGGAGGCAGCAGUGGGGAAUAUUCGGCAAUGGGCGCAAGCCUGAUCCAGCCACACCGCGUGAGUGAUGAAGGCCUUCGGAUCGUAAAGCUCUUUUAUUAGGAAAGAACAACAGUAUGAGUAACCCCCGCCGUCUUGACGGUACCUAAACAGAAAGCCCCGGCUAACUUCGUG
rnacentral:rRNA from 1 species